CCGGAGGCAGCAGUGGGAAUAUUGGACAAUGGGGCAACCCUGAUCCCAGCCAUGCCGCGUGUGUGAAGAAGGCCUUUUGGUUGUAAAGCACUUUAAGCAGUGAAGAAGACUCCGUGGUUAAUACCCACGGACGAUGACAUUAGCUGCAGAAUAAGCACCGGCUAACUCUGUGCCAGCAGNCCGCGGUAAUACAGAGGGUGCAAGCGUUAAUCGGAAUUACUGGGCGUAAAGCGAGCGUAGGUGGCUUGAUAAGUCAGAUGUGAAAUCCCCGGGCUUAACCUGGGAACUGCAUCUGAUACUGUUAAGCUAGAGUAGGUGAGAGGGAAGUAGAAUUUCAGGUGUAGCGGUGAAAUGCGUAGAGAUCUGAAGGAAUACCGAUGGCGAAGGCAGCUUCCUGGCAUCAUACUGACACUGAGGCUCGAAAGCGUGGGUAGCAAACAGGAUUAGAUACCCUGGUAGUCCACGCCGUAAACGAUGUCUACUAGUCGUUGGGUCCCUUGAGGACUUAGUGACGCAGCUAACGCAAUAAGUAGACCGCCUGGGGAGUACGGCCGCAAGGUUAAAACUCAAAUGAAUUGACGGGGGCCCGCACAAGCGGUGGAGCAUGUGGUUUAAUUCGAUGCAACGCGAAGAACCUUACCUGGUCUUGACAUAUCUAGAAUCCUGCAGAGAUGCGGGAGUGCCUUCGGGAAUUAGAAUACAGGUGCUGCAUGGCUGUCGUCAGCUCGUGUCGUGAGAUGUUGGGUUAAGUCCCGCAACGAGCGCAACCCUUGUCCUUAGUUACCAGCGGGUUAAGCCGGGAACUCUAAGGAUACUGCCAGUGACAAACUGGAGGAAGGCGGGGACGACGUCAAGUCAUCAUGGCCCUUACGACCAGGGCUACACACGUGCUACAAUGGUAGGUACAGAGGGCAGCUACACAGCGAUGUGAUGCGAAUCUCAAAAAGCCUAUCGUAGUCCAGAUUGGAGUCUGCAACUCGACUCCAUGAAGUAGGAAUCGCUAGUAAUCGCGAUCAGAAUG
rnacentral:rRNA from 1 species